GUCGAGCGAACAGAUGAGGAGCUUGCUCCUCUGACGUUAGCGGCGGACGGGUGAGUAACACGUGGAUAACCUACCUAUAAGACUGGGAUAACUUCGGGAAACCGGAGCUAAUACCGGAUAAUAUAUUGAACCGCAUGGUUCAAUAGUGAAAGACGGUUUUGCUGUCACUUAUAGAUGGAUCCGCGCCGCAUUAGCUAGUUGGUAAGGUAACGGCUUACCAAGGCAACGAUGCGUAGCCGACCUGAGAGGGUGAUCGGCCACACUGGAACUGAGACACGGUCCAGACUCCUACGGGAGGCAGCAGUAGGGAAUCUUCCGCAAUGGGCGAAAGCCUGACGGAGCAACGCCGCGUGAGUGAUGAAGGUCUUCGGAUCGUAAAACUCUGUUAUUAGGGAAGAACAAAUGUGUAAGUAACUAUGCACGUCUUGACGGUACCUAAUCAGAAAGCCACGGCUAACUACGUGCCAGCAGCCGCGGUAAUACGUAGGUGGCAAGCGUUAUCCGGAAUUAUUGGGCGUAAAGCGCGCGUAGGCGGUUUUUUAAGCCUGAUGUGAAAGCCCACGGCUCAACCGUGGAGGGUCAUUGGAAACUGGAAAACUUGAGUGCAGAAGAGGAAAGUGGAAUUCCAUGUGUAGCGGUGAAAUGCGCAGAGAUAUGGAGGAACACCAGUGGCGAAG
rnacentral:rRNA from 1 species